rnacentral:lncRNA from 1 species
AAAGCAUUAGUAAAUCCCGCAGAAAUAACGUAAAUAAUUAUGUAAACAUAAGAAAUAUAAAUACAAUCGCAUGCAAUAAUAACAAACAGUAACUACCAUACUAACAACCAUAAGGGGGACAAGCUAAAACACAAAUCAUCUAUGGAUAACCCUGCUGCACCACACCCAACCCCGGAAGAGGCGUACAAAGCACUCUAUGAGCCCCUAGCCUACAACACUGAUUCUAGACUUCCACGCUCCCCUAUGAAGGGUGGACUAUGAGCCCCAAGCUUACAACACUGAUUCUAGACCUCCAGACUCUCCUAUCAAGGGUCAUGUCCUCGGAAACCUGCAGGGGAAUAUUCCGGGGGUACCAAGUCGGUCGGAAUUGUGGGGGGAAAAAACUGUCCAAAAGGAGCCGGUGGAAAAAGUGACCGGAGAAGGGCUCACGCGCCUGGCGCGUGGAUGUCACUAGCGGCGCGUGGGUGGUCAGCGGCGGCGCGUGAGGCAGAUUCCGGCGACGAAAUUUGCAGGGGGUGUGCGCCUGAAAUUGUGUGUCUCGGUGGUGUAGGAGGUGUCGAAGAAAGACCGCCGUGAGAGACCAUUGUUGGCGGAAACUUUGCCGGAA